AUGUUCCGAAACAAAGCAACACAAGGACCUGGGUGGGCAGCAGCAAGGAGGCGAUGGCAGAGCAGCGGGUCUCGGUGGCCGGCGUCGUCGGAUCUCGCGGAUGGGAGGCUGAUGCCUCGGGAGCUCGUGGGAUCGAAGGUCAACGGCGCUGGAGUUGCUGCUGCUGUUAGAGGUGAAGCAGUGCGCAGUUCAGGCAAAGCGGAGGCAGCGGCGGUGGGGCUUGGGGCUGACAACGAGGAUCCGGGCGAGGCCGGUGUUCUCCGGUGUGGUGGCGACGGACUUGGGGCGGAGGAGGCAAGAAGGCGCGGCGGCGGCCUGGACUCGGGAAGGAGGCCGAGUGCUGCAGGCGCGCGACGAUGA
rnacentral:rRNA from 1 species